CACUUAUACUUCCCCCCAAAACAAAACAAUUACAUAAAAAUUGAAGGACUCGCCUGUCCUGCCUCUCUCUCGAUUCCCAGCUCUCUUUCGAUUUUCUCUCUCCCGAACACUCUCGACAACAAAAUUGAAGGAUGAAUUGAAGGAUAAAUUAAAGAUUUGUUAGUUGAAUACACAAGUCUUUGGUUCCAAUUAGAAGGCUUUUACUAAUUUUAUUUUAAUUUUACAGGUGAUUAGGGCUUCAAUUAAUUGGGGUUUUCUUGCAGCAUUCCAGAAAUGGGAGUUUGACUCUUCUUGCUACUCAGGUUCUUGCUACUCAGGCAAUGUUUAGGGCAAUUGGAAUUGGGUAUGCUCAUUCGCUUCCAUCUGCUGCUGCCCUCAAUUGGGUAUUAAAAGAUGGUCUCGGACGCCUUAGUAGAUGUAUCUACACUGCUUGUUUAGCGUCAGUUUUUGAUACUAAUCUUAAGGACAAAUCACAUUUAUGAUCUGCCAAUGUUGAAGCACGCAGAGAGGCAAGGCCAUGGAUGAGCUGGUCGAGAUCAGGGAGUGUAAUGGUACAAGUAGACUUGUGGUUAUUCCUGUAUUUUACAAUGUUGAUAAAUACAACUUGGAGAAUCAACUGGAGACUUGUGCUAGAGCGUUUGAUCAAUUGCAACUAACAGGAUCAGCGUUGUGUCAGAGACUGGCAAUUGAGGAGAUUGUUGGUAUGCUGGGAUUGGAUCUGAAUAAGUUUGCGCCUAGGUUAGCUGCUUGAGAUCUCCGCAUCCAAACACCCCAGAAAGACAUCAAUGCUCCCAGAAGCAAGAAGGGUCCGCAUCGUGGAUCACACAAGAGAUCAUGGAGUCCAGAAGUAAGACUAAUGACUCGACGCAUUAUUCCCUUGCCCGAGGAAAGAAUCUUCUUAGUGCUAGUUGACCAUAUAGGGUCCACGUCCUCAGGAACAAGCUCAGGAGAAGAAAAGUUUGUGAAUAAGUUUGUGAGAUUCUGAGAGAAGAAAAGACACGGGCUGACGAAUUUUGCUACUCUUCCUUUUGUUUAUGAAUGUUUAAUAUAAGCGGCAAGUUUACAGUAUUGUAAGUGUAGUUGCUAUGGUUUCAUUUUCAGUUGCGUGCCUAAAAUAUGGUAUUGCAGAGUAUAUUAGUCUCUGUUGGAAGUAUGUAAUUUAUGACUAAGUUUAUUUGUCAGAAGGUUUGUAUUAUUAUUUUAGACUUUUAGUACGAAAAUAAAUUUAUUUAUUUUUUUC